rnacentral:rRNA from 1 species
UAAUACGUAGGGUGCAAGCGUUAAUCGGAAUUACUGGGCGUAAAGCGUGCGCAGGCGGUUCGGAAAGAAAGAUGUGAAAUCCCAGAGCUUAACUUUGGAACUGCAUUUUUAACUACCGAGCUAGAGUGUGUCAGAGGGAGGUGGAAUUCCGCGUGUAGCAGUGAAAUGCGUAGAUAUGCGGAGGAACACCGAUGGCGAAGGCAGCCUCCUGGGAUAACACUGACGCUCAUGCACGAAAGCGUGGGGAGCAAACAGGAUUAGAUACCCUGGUAGUCCACGCCCUAAACGAUGUCAACUAGCUGUUGGGGCCUUCGGGCCUUGGUAGCGCAGCUAACGCGUGAAGUUGACCGCCUGGGGAGUACGGUCGCAAGAUUAAAACUUAAAUGAAUUGACGG